GUAGGUGGCAAGCGUUGUCCGGAAUUAUUGGGCGUAAAGCGCGCGCAGGCGGUCCUUUAAGUCUGAUGUGAAAGCCCACGGCUCAACCGUGGAGGGUCAUUGGAAACUGGGGGGACUUGAGUACAGAAGAGGAAAGCGGAAUUCCAAGUGUAGCGGUGAAAUGCGUAGAGAUUUGGAGGAACACCAGUGGCGAAGGCGGCUUUCUGGUCUGUAACUGACGCUGAGGCGCGAAAGCGUGGGGAGCAAACAGGAUUAGAUACCCUGGUAGUCCACGCCGUAAACGAUGAGUGCUAAGUGUUAGGGGGUUUCCCGCCCCCUUAGUGCUGCAGCUAACGCAUUAAGCACUCCGCCUGGGGAGUACGGCCGCAAGGCUG
rnacentral:rRNA from 1 species